AAAAAUGCGAGCACAAGACAGAAGUCUCCAGGAGCUGGCUGCAGGCUCAUGAAAGAAGUGGAGAUCACGCGCGAGGAAAGAUGUUUCCUGCUGUCGCGCUCUUAUGGGUGUUUGUUCAGCUUUGCAGUGCGCGUGACAUGAUGUGCACCGUCACUCACGCUGGCAAAAAGACUACAUACAACAUCUCAGACCUGUCCCCUGAUAUACGAAACGAGGCUUCCCGCUGCAUGUUUAUGUGGUCCAAUGCAACCGAUUUUGUGAUCGCACACCACGGGGGCCUGUUCCUGCAGCCCGUGAUGAGCAGCAGCUUUGGCACACUAAUCACCUCCAAAUGCAUCGGCAACGUUAGCUUCACAGCCGCUUGCGUGAUAAAGCAAAGAGCAUAUGAUUACACAGCCAGCUGCACCCCCGUCUGCCCUCCACAAGCUCUGAUUGAUGACACAGGAAUGCCUCCUUCCCAGAUCGGUGUCAUUGUAGUAGAUUUCAUUGUCCUGCUGGUGCUCGGCCUCGUGUGCUUCCUGUGCUACAAAUAUAGACUUUGGAGUAAAUGCUGUGGCCAGACUGGAGGCAUCUACCCUCGUGUGAUGUUUAAGAAGGCUCCGCAAGCAAAAGCUGAUGUGGAGACAGGAGGAGGAUAGAGCAGCUUCUCGGUGCACGAUAAAUCUAUAGCCAUGCUUUCUCCGUCCUUUCCCCUGCAUUACUUAAGUAGCAGUAUGCUUGCAUUAAUAUAUCAUCUCUGCGGGUUUGCUUUUCUGUAUUUUGCCGGGCGGCUUUUUGGGACAAGACAGUUACAGCAUGAAAUCCAUGUUACAGGAUAUUAGAGGCUUGAUGUGCCAAACUCUAACAUAAGAGUUCCUCCUUCCACACUGUUCAAUUCAAUUUUAUUUGUAUGAAAGCAAAAUGGCAACAGUAGUUUGAGGCUCUUCUGUGGCCUCAUCAAUGCUAAAAAACGCUGUGACUGAUGAAAGGUCAUUGAUUUCUUCCCACACAGACAAACCUCAGCUCAGUGUUAGAAACUGUAUCCUGUUACAGCGCUGUUUCAUUAAUUCCACUUGCCGGUUAGCUGUGAGGGAUUGGUGCACAGGUGAAAAGUUCUCUGGGCUGUGGAAGCUCUCAGACUCUUUGCUGCACCAGUGAGUGCACUUUGAGGACCCAGUAGCAUGAAUAAAUUAACAAUGACCCCCCUACUUCCAGCCAGGACCCCCAUGUUAGUGUUAAUGAUGUAAACCAGCUGUGGAAGCUCGGAGACUCGUAAUGCAGCACCAGGGCGUGCACUUUCAGUGUCCUAUAGCAUUACAGCACAUAGUAUAUAUGCAUACAACACUAUAAAGAAUAUUAUAAAUAACUUAUUAUCCAAAUGUUGCUAAUAUUUUUAUAAUAUGUUUAUUAUUAUUUCUAUUAUAUAAGAUAUAUAUGUUUAUAAUAAUUAUAAAUACACUACCUGGGGUUGAGAUGCAAUAAUAAAGUACAGUGUACUUGUAUUGUAGUACUGGAUUGCUUGUGAUUAUGACCAGUUAUUAUGAAUGUUUUAGUCCUAAAUAAUGCAUCAUGAAUCCUGCCUUAUCAAACGUGUGUGUGUGUGUGUGUGUGAUCAGGCUCACCAAAUCAUUUUUCUGUAUCACGUUUCUUGUAUUUGUUUUUGCUGUUGUCACAGUUUCAUGUUAAUUUUACAGCUAAUGCACCUGCAAAGAAUAAAAUCACUUUGUCUAAAAGCAC
ensembl:lncRNA